rnacentral:rRNA from 1 species
CCUACGGGAGGCUGCAGUGGGGAAUAUUGGACAAUGGGCGAAAGCCUGAUCCAGCCAUGCCGCGUGUGUGAAGAAGGCCUUCGGGUUGUAAAGCACUUUCAGUGGGGAAGAAAGCCUUGGGGCUAAUACCCUCGAGGAAGGACAUCACCCACAGAAGAAGCACCGGCUAACUCCGUGCCAGCAGCCGCGGUAAUACGGAGGGUGCGAGCGUUAAUCGGAAUUACUGGGCGUAAAGCGCGCGUAGGCGGUCUGAUAAGCCGGUUGUGAAAGCCCCGGGCUCAACCUGGGAACGGCAUCCGGAACUGUCAAGCUAGAGUGCAGGAGAGGAAGGUAGAAUUCCCGGUGUAGCGGUGAAAUGCGUAGAGAUCGGGAGGAAUACCAGUGGCGAAGGCGGCCUUCUGGACUGACACUGACGCUGAGGUGCGAAAGCGUGGGUAGCAAACAGGAUUAGAUACCCCAGUAGUC